rnacentral:rRNA from 1 species
AGUGAACGCUGGCGGCGUGCUUAACACAUGCAAGUCGAACGAGAACGGAAUAUAGCUUGCUAUAUUUGUCAACUAAGUGGCGCACGGGUGAGUAAUGUAUAGAUAACCUGCCCUUAAGAAAGGAAUAACAGUUGGAAACGACUGCUAAUGCCCUAUAUGCCUUUAAUACAUAAGUAUGCAAGGGAAACGCUUUAGUGUUUAAGGAUGGGUCUGUAUGGUAUCAGCUUGUUGGUGAGGUAAUGGCUCACCAAGGCUAUGACGCCUAACUGGUUUGAGAGGAUGAUCAGUCACACUGGAACUGGGACACGGUCCAGACUCCUACGGGAGGCAGCAGUGGGGAAUAUUGCACAAUGGACGAAAGUCUGAUGCAGCAACGCCGCGUGGAGGAUGACACAUUUCGGUGCGUAAACUCCUUUUAUAUAGGAAGAUAAUGACGGUACUAUAUGAAUAAGCACCGGCUAACUCCGUGCCAGCCGCCGCCGUAA